UAUCCCAAGACCCUGGGCUAAAAUCAAGAGUUGGACAUUCAACUGACUACCCCCUAUGUCUUUGCUUUUAAAGAAAGUGUCACCAUGUUACCAACUCUAUACUGAUUCUAUUGCUUCUAAUAGCCUAGAAAUAGAGCAAAGCAACAUCCCUUAAAAUUCAAUAUGAAAAGAACCCACAAUCUCAACAUUUAGAAACCUUGGUAGAAAGAAAGAAUUUCUUAUUUUAAAUUACAGAUAAUAUGAAGAGUAGAAAGGUACUUACAGCUCCAUGUGUAUGGAGACCCAUCUGUUCCAUCUCUGCGUUUCCUGCUCUGCUAAUAGGGAUGGCUUUGCCUUACCCAGCCUUUAACGUAAAGAUUAAAAUUCUACAUAAUACAGGAUUUUCAUUCACCUAUGAAAGGCUUACUUUGAAACUUGGGAAGCUUCAAGUGAAUUACAACUGACUUUGCCAUUGGUAAAUUUAGUGUAUUAUAUAUUUUUAUUAGCAUUGGUGUUGACAUUAUCAGAUCAUUUGGAUAAUAAAAUGUCAUUUGUUAUUGGGCUAUCAUUUUUUUAACACAAAUUCUUAUUAUACGUUUUAUACAUAUGGCAGGUACGUAUUACAUGUGUAACUAAAUUAGGACAAUCUCCAUGAAUUGUUGAUAAGAUUAACAUGGAAUUAUCCCACUUCUACCAUGCAGAAGCAUUAUCUUUAUGAACCUGAGUCCCAUAUUCAAAGGUUGGUAAGUUUUUACUAGAAACAAGCAUUACUUCUGCAGCCCAUAAAAUGCCAUGAGUUAUGAAACAGAGAAUGUUCUCAGAAAGGUCAGUUUUCCCAAUGCCCGGGUCUCUACAAAAGUAGAGAUUCUUAUGUCAUUCUGUCAGUAUACAGAAGGGAUUUGAAGUAUUAAACACAGAGAUAGGAAUUUAUAUUUCUAAUUUAAAGGAAAAUUCAAUACAUCAAUCACUUUUAAGUUUU